UCUUCAACUUCAGAAGUAGAAGGAAUUUCAUCCUUAGAAACUGGUGUCUCUAUUUGCACUUCAUCCUUGGUAUCCUUGGGUUGAUUUUCUACUUCUUCAACUGCUUCACUUCCUGAAGACUUAAUCAGAUCAUCAGCUGAUUCUUGAGGUGGAUCAGGACUUGCCUCGUUUUCCACUGUAUCUGCGCAAAAUCAGCAAUAAGAAAUAGUAAUACAUAGAUGUAAAACAAAAUGAACUAAGAAAACAUAUCCUCAAUUACUCUUUAACUCUUUUUUUUCCACAUAGAACCGUUGCUUAGUUAGAAACGACAACUUUAUGACAUGUGACAAGUCAUCUAUUGCAUUAAAAACUUACUCCUCAAACAUUGACAAAAGAAAGAAGGAAAUGAACUAAUGAAGUUGAUAUGUGUCAACUCUAAAGUGGUUCAAGAGAAAAAAAGUACAUUAUAAAAGGUUAUUUUUCACUCAGCAACUAUUCAUUCAAUAGAACUUCUGAGUUGUAUCCCUCUUAGAAAAGAAACAGUCUAACAAUAGAUUUUUUGCCCUCAUUAAUAUUGCAGAAAUCAGACAGUAAUUACAUGUCUGUUUGUCAUGUGUAUGUACGCAAAACCACAGAUACUUUGUUUGCAAUUAUCAUUUUGUGCAGAAUAACGAAAAUAGGGUAUGAAUUUCUCACAGAAUAGGAUUGCUAGCAGUGUAAUGGUUAUCUACCUUCGGCAUCUUUGGGAUCAGUAACAUCUGGUUGUACAACUGAACUGGCAACAUUGCCAUUUUCAUCCGGAACAGCUCCAAUUUCUUCUUCUUGAACAGAUGCAGCAGAGGGAGUUUUAUCCUCAGCUAGAGGUGUUUCUGCCUGCUCUUCAGGAAUACUUCCGAUUUCUUCCUCCUGAACUGAUGCAGCAACCGAUGUUUCAUCCUCAGCUAGGGGAGCUUCCUCUUGUAAUACAUCUUUUUGUGUAGACUCUUCAUCAACUGAAUAUUCGGAAGUCA
rnacentral:lncRNA from 1 species